GUACCCGAAACCGACACAGGUGGGGUGGUAGAGAAUACCGAGGGGCGCGAGGUAACUCUCUCUAAGGAACUCGGCAAAAUGGCCCCGUAACUUCGGGAGAAGGGGUUCCACCGCAAGGUGGUCGCAGUGAAGAGGCCCAGGCGACUGUUUACCAAAAACACAGGUCUCCGCUAAGUCGCAAGACGAUGUAUGGGGGCUGACGCCUGCCCAGUGCCGGAAGGUUAAGGAAGCUGGUCAGCGCAAGCGAAGCUAGCGACUGAAGCCCCGGUGAACGGCGGCCGUAACGAUAACGGUCCUAAGGUAGCGAAAUUCCUUGUCGGGUAAGUUCCGACCCGCACGAAAGGCGUAACGAUCUGGGCGCUGUCUCGGAGAGAGGCUCGGCGAAAUAGAAUUGUCUGUGAAGAUGCGGACUACGUGCACCCGGACAGAAAGACCCUAUGAAGCUUUACUGUAGCUUGGUAUUGUGCCCGGGCUCGCAAUGCGCAGGAUAGGUGGGAGGCUUUGAUCAUCGGCUUGCGGGUCGAUGUGAGCCAACGGUGAGAUACCACUCUUUGCGAGCUAGGGUUCUAACGGCCACUCGUCAUCCGGGGGCCGGACAGUACCUGGUGGGCAGUUUGACUGGGGCGGUCGCCUCCUAAAAGGUAACGGAGGCGCGCAAAGGUUUGCUCAGGCUGGUUGGAAAUCAGCCGACGAGUGUAAAAGCAGAAGCAAGCUUGACUGUGAGACCAACAAGUCGAACAGGGAGGAAACUCGGCUUUAGUGAUCCGACGGUUCUGAGUGGAAGGGCCGUCGCUCAACGGAUAAAAGUUACUCUAGGAUAACAGGCUGAUCUCCCCCAAGAGUUCACAUCGACGGGGAGGUUUGGCACCUCGAUGUCGGCUCAUCGCAACCUGGGGCUGAAGUCGGUCCCAAGGGUUGGGCUGUUCGCCCAUUAAAGCGGUACGCGAGCUGGGUUCAGAACGUCGUGAGACAGUUCGGUCCAUAUCCGGUGCACGCGCAGGAAUAUUGAGAGGAUUUCUCCCUAGUACGAGAGGACCGGGAGGAACGCACCUCUGGUGUACCAGUUAUCGUGCCAACGGUAAACGCUGGGUAGCCAUGUGCGGAGUGGAUAACCGCUGAAAGCAUCUAAGUGGGAAGCCCACCUCAAGAUGAGUAUUCCCAUGGCGUAAGCCAGUAAGGUCACGGGAAGAACACCCGUUGAUAGGCUCUAUGUGGAAGCGCAGUAAUGCGUGAAGCAGAGGAGUACUAAUAGACCGAGGGCUUGACC
rnacentral:rRNA from 1 species